AAUUUAGUUCCUAAAUAAAAUAAAAGGCAACCUCCUACUUGUUCCUUUCUCUUUCUCACGCACCUAUCCUCUCUUGGCAAGAGCCAUCUCUCUUCUUUCAAAAAACCCUAGCAUGUUACCUACAUAGCCGCCAGCCUUUGGCUAUGGCUGGGGGUCGGUGGCAGGUUUUUCCUUCUCGUCCUAUCCCUUCUUAUCUCCCCCUUCUCCCCCAUCCCAGCCUUCUCUCCACUCCCCUCCCUUCCCAUCCACAGCUUAGCCCUUUGACCACAAGCCUACCCCUUUUUUCGGCCUUCACGUACCUCCUCUCCCCUAUCCGCAUUUCUCUCCCACCAUUUGUGGGUUGGAUCCACCGUCAUCAGCUCUUUUUCCAUGGUGGUGACACUUUCUUUGACUCGGUUGCUUUGCUUUGUUUGGGCAUUCAGUACCUGGUGGUUCCGCUACCUUAUGCGACUUGAUCUUGUGGUGUUUGAUUUUGGAUGCCUGAAUCCCACUCGACCGGUGAAUAUGCAGGUGGCCUUAGCAAAGAGAGAUUUUUCAGUGUGACCGGUAUACGGGAUGGUACACCAUGUGUUGUUAUACAAAUGGUGAGAUAUGUGUGAUAAAAAGUUAAUAACUUAAAAAAUAAAAUUUCUCACCACUCUUAUUAAAACACGUGGUGUAUCACUUGUAUUCUUGUCACAACUAAAAAAUUUCUCCUUGGCAAGAAUGUCAUUGUCCCCCACUGUGAUGAGUUGACCAAUGGUUCCCUUCUCAGAGUGGUGUAGUUGUGUUUCACUCGCAAGUGUCGUGGUCGUGUUAUGAUGAUUAGAUUGGUCUUCGCCUUUAAGCAAUGAGUUAUGUAGUCUCAUUUGUCAACAAUGAUUUGAUGUGGUCUUGCUCUAGUGUGAUGAUUUUAUGUGGUAUCGUUAUCAACGAUGACCAAUGUGGUUGCCAGUUUAACUUUUGUUUUAUAUAUCGUUUAUUGUAACAGAUCAGUACUAGUGGCAAUUGUGCGCUUGGCGAUUGUGCGUUUGUGCUUGUGGUAACCUGCUAAGGGCUUACUUUUAUUUAUCUAAUUGUGCAAACUCACUCUACAUCAAUUGAUUGUUCAUUAAA